GAGAAUUAGGAGGGGAGGAAGACGGGAGGAGAGGAGGUGGAAGAGGAGGAGACUAUAGCACCCUUAUCAGCCUCCAGUUCUUGGUGCACCCCGUUCUGCGAGACACUCUCCUGUGGUCCGCCCUGGCCUGCAGGGGAUCCCCACGCUGAACCUCUGAGGAAGGCUGGCACCCUCUCUCCAGCACAUUCCCGGUGCCCUUGCUGAAGCAUGUGUCCUCAGGGCCCUCUCCUGAAACAUGAUCCUCCGAGGUGUCUUCUGGCCUCACCUCUUCUGUCCAGAUCCAGCAAGCUCACGUUGCUCAGCCGUUGAACCCCUUCCUUCACCGUCUGCACUGACAGUCCGGGCCUUUCACCAUCACUCAGGCAUGGACCAUCGCUGUUGCCCAUCCCAUGCCAUCCACAGGACUGGCACAUCCUGCCCGUGCAGCUCUGUGCUGCAGCUUCCCUCUGGUCACGGGUCUGGCCGUCGGCUCACCGAUUCCUCCAGCUUCCACGGGACUCUCUGGGUGUUAGCACUGCAAGUUCCUCAGCAAACUGGGACUGUCGGUCACCUACCUGGCAGCCAGUGAUAAGGGCCUGUGUCGUUGGCAUGAUAGACCUGCCUUGGUUGAGCGUUCAGCUGUCUUUGGAGUUCAGCCACCUUAGCAAGUCCUGGGUUUGUUCUUCAGAUUUUGCUGCUCGCCCAUUGCCUGGAUCGGGGGCUACUUUGUAAACCACCAGGACGACUCCAGUGCUUCUGCUUAAUUUUUAGACGUUUGUUGAUUGCCCUUGGCCUCUCAUUAACCCCGUGUGCGUCAUCCGGGCAACGUAGUCACCACCAUCCACUCCCUGAGUUUCCAUUUCCAGACGUCCGUCCUGCCUGGGUCUCCUCACCUGCCAGGAACUUCCUCUUCACAAGCUACCCGUCCCAUCAAAAGCUCUAACACCAAAGAUCUAGCAACUAGGCUGCCAUUUUGUGCCUGGAGCCACCUGCAUGCCACCUAUGCCCAAAGAUGGGAACCUCGUUGCCUCCUGGGCAGUUGCAGGGUGAUCCUGUACCAAGACUCCAUCUUACAACUUGCUGUCUUGGACCACUCUGGAACCCACUGUCUCAGAUUGGGUCCUUUAGGAAGCAGACCGUGAGAGGGAGUUGGCAGGGCCAGAGGUUUACCAGGGCUAACUUGCACUCAGGAAAGGGACAGGAAGGAAGCAGGGCUGGAGAGCAGGUUGGGCCAGACCUGACAGUCUCGAGCAGCCCAAGAGGGAGGUGUGGAGCAAGGGUUGCCCAUUAGAGGGACCUGCAUUGGGCAUGGGUGGUGGGGUCCACAUGGUACCUGGCACACAGCAGGCCGUGCAAUCCAUCUUAACUGACUGGAUGAAUUAAUGCCAAGGAAAGGUGCUCUGGAUAGCGGGUAUAUGCUGAGCAGCACAGGGAAGGGCCCAGCAUCUGUCUUUGCACAGCCAGAACUGUGCUGUGCCCUGCAACAGGCCACCCGAGAGCUGCUUUGAGCUUGCGUGUGCAUUAGACAACUCUCAGGGGCACGAAGCUUUGCUGGCAGGGCGCCUCGUGACCUGUUGGUAUUGGUGUGAGCACAGCCUGGCAGGAGAGGGCAGAUCUCGGCACAAAGUAUCAUGUCAAAAAGCAGAUCAGAGCCCGGCCCCCUCCUGGAAGAGGCUCCUUGAGGGUAGGUGCACGCUCAUGCCUUUGUUACUUAUAAGGGGGCAUCUGACAGGCAGAAGGAAUUAGGUGAAUGGGAAGAGGGAGGGACUGCUCACUCUGGGCAAGGGACUGGGGGAGGCUUCUCAGAGGAGGGGGUGUUCGAGUGGCGUCUUGAAGGCCGAAAGGGUUUUGUUAGGUGGAAAAUGGGGGAGUGACAGCCUGUAAGAGUUAGGUACAUUCAGGGAGCCCAGAGAAGGUUUGUGGCUGGACCAGAUCCAUUUGUAGAGUGAAGUCGUGGGAGAAGAGGCUGGGAAACUAGGUUGGGUCCAACUCCUAAAGGCCCACUGAAGGAAUGUGGGCUGCAUGCUGGGUGCAGCAGCUGAGUGUCCUCACUUGUGUUGCACUGUCAGCAUUUUAAAAAGGCAAACCGUGGUUCUCUUACAGAGAAGAAUUCAUUGAUUCACUCAUGAGGCCAGCAAGUCAUCUGACAAACCUUCCUGUACUUCUGAUGGGGCAGGAGUGUUUCUAGACAACAGGCACACAAAUAUAAGAUCCAGCCCAGUGCAGCUCAGGAGCAGCCUUCCACGGAUCAGUGGCUGGUACCUCCGGCAUGCUCCUGUCCUUGCCUAUCUGAACAUAUGGGUAGUAACCUUAAGCAGUCUCCUGACUUGUCUCAGUCUCCUGACUUGUGAUAAUGUUUCCAAUUCUUGUUCUUGACUGUAGAAUGAAGUUUGGAGAGAUGUCGUUAGGUCUCUAGGUUCUGAGGAUUACUAUGGGGUAGGCAGAGGGAGAGAAGCGUGUUGGGGCCAGAUGUUCCCGUGCUUCUACCAGAAACUUGAUUUGCCCAGUGUACCACCCUCACUUGGUGGGUGUAAGCAGAAUGGCCUGCCACUGACAACCCAGAGAAAGAAGGUACAGCGCGGGCUUGCCCUGGUGGGCUCUUGAAUGCCCUGAGCUGCAGCAGCAUCCAGGGCCAGGUGGUACUUGGUAGGGCCAGCCCCCCACCCACUGUGUCUGAUCAUACUGCCUUUGAAAGAGGAGGGUAGGUGAUGAAGACAAGAUGAUGAGAUAGGGUGGCCUCACACCCAACUGGAACAUUUGCAAAUGAUACUUGGCGAAAGCUUUAGGAAAGAGGCCGCUUCAUUUAUGAAAUGAUACUAGCUAAUGUUUGACCUUAGUCAUAUGUUGCUUGAUUCCUCGGUUUGCCAUCUGCUGGCUGACCCAUACAACUUCACUUUUAAUUAAAGGUGGGUUGUGAUCAGA